AGAGUUUGAUCAUGGCUCAGGACGAACGCUGGCGGCGUGCCUAAUACAUGCAAGUAGAACGCUGAAGGGAGAGCUUGCUCUUCUGGAUGAGUUGCGAACGGGUGGGUAACGCGUAGGUAACCUGCCUGGUAGCGGGGGAUAACUAUUGGAAACGAUAGCUAAUACCGCAUAACAUUGACUAUUGCAUGAUAGUCAAUUAAAAGGUGCAAUUGCACCACUACCAGAUGGACCUGCGUUGUAUUAGCUAGUUGGUGGGGUAACGGCUCACCAAGGCGACGAUACAUAGCCGACCUGAGAGGGUGAUCGGCCACACUGGGACUGAGACACGGCCCAGACUCCUACGGGAGGCAGCAGUAGGGAAUCUUCGGCAAUGGACGGAAGUCUGACCGAGCAACGCCGCGUGAGUGAAGAAGGUUUUCGGAUCGUAAAGCUCUGUUGUAAGAGAAGAACGAGUGUGAGAGUGGAAAGUUCACACUGUGACGGUAUCUUACCAGAAAGGGACGGCUAACUACGUGCCAGCAGCCGCGGUAAUACGUAGGUCCCGAGCGUUGUCCGGAUUUAUUGGGCGUAAAGCGAGCGCAGGCGGUUAGAUAAGUCUGAAGUUAAAGGCUGUGGCUUAACCAUAGUACGCUUUGGAAACUGUUUAACUUGAGUGCAGAAGGGGAGAGUGGAAUUCCAUGUGUAGCGGUGAAAUGCGUAGAUAUAUGGAGGAACACCGGUGGCGAAAGCGGCUCUCUGGUCUGUAACUGACGCUGAGGCUCGAAAGCGUGGGGAGCAAACAGGAUUAGAUACCCCGGUAGUCCAA
rnacentral:rRNA from 1 species